rnacentral:rRNA from 1 species
UACAGAGGUGGCAAGCGUUGUUCGGAAUUACUGGGCGUAAAGGGCGCGUAGGCGGCCUUGUAAGUCCCGUGUGAAAGCCCCCGGCUCAACCGGGGAAUGGCACGGGAAACUGCGAGGCUUGAGUUCGGGAGAGGGAAGCGGAAUUCCGGGUGUAGCGGUGAAAUGCGUAGAUAUCCGGAGGAACACCAGUGGCGAAGGCGGCUUCCUGGACCGAUACUGACGCUGAGGCGCGAAAGCUAGGGGAGCAAACGGG